CUUGUCCUCUUUUCUUAGGGUCUUUUCACACCUGUGGAUUUCCCUUAUUAGGAGGGACUGGGCAUUUGCUUUCUAUUCUGCUUUGCUCCACCCCUGGCUGCUCAGAAUGCCACAGGCAGUGGCACAAAUCAGUGAAGGUGCUGCAGGGAAAGAGUCAUUUGAGUCAUUUGAAGGAGAAAGAUUUGAAGGAGAUGGUGACAGCAGUAGUCUGAUAUAUGAUGAAAUGGAGCAGAGUCUCUGCUAUUCAAGCCUCUUAAGUUCCAGGUGUUCCCAGGCAGUGAUCAGGAUUGAUGACCUUACAGCAUGCUCUGGCUCAUCACCCCAGGAGCUCCUCCAUACUUUUAUUGAAGCCACCACCUUACUGCUGAAACUCAGGGCUAAAUGCAUCAGCUAUAGCUGUCAGGGCCCUCUCAGCAUCACCUUGCAGAAGUGAAGCAUUCAGGCACAUUUGGAGGGCUACAAAAAUAAGUGAGUUGGUGACUAGAGAGAAGCAAUAACCCAUAGAGAGCCACCUGCAGACUGUCAAUUAAAGCUGCCAUCCCACAGCUGAACCUGUUUUUAGCUCCAUACUAUAGGACUGCUUUCUGUUAAUGCACUAAGUGCAGUCAGGAUAUGUGUCCUUAAUUUUGUACCCUGCUUACAAAACCUAGCUAUGCAUUGCUUUGGCUUGCCAUGCAGUAGAAGAAAUAAUUUUAUGACCUUGGGGACUAAAGUCCUUCCUCUGUCAUUCACUAAGAAUUAAUUUGCCAAAAAAAAUCAAUCUAGGCUGUUCUUGUAGCACACAAAAAGAAUAUGUCUGAGCUAAGUUGCCCCAGAUGAAUCAUAAAAUAUAACUUAAUAGGCACAUGCAUCUGUUUCAUGGAAACUACAGGGGAGAAGAAAAUUAUGUGAGUAUUUUAAAGG
rnacentral:lncRNA from 1 species